UCUCAGGCGUGUGCCAUCAGCUGCUGUGCAACUGGGCGUGCAACCUCCCUCCACCCCUCAUUCGGCCGAGCAGUCGCAGGCUCACCUACCUCACUAGCAGGCAGAUCGACUGCAGCACGGCAAGCUGUCUGCCUACACGGAAGCGUCGACCGGAUCGCCGUGUGUUAUGCCAAGAGCAGAAAACCGCCUGUCCCUGGACGUGUCGCCUCCCCCCCUGUUGCUUUCAGUCUGCUCAUGCAUCCGCCCACCUCUGGUCAGGGACUGUUCCCUCGCUACGGCGGAGGCUGGAUGCACCAGUUUGGCCACGUGUACGCCCUCCAACAAGAGCUUCUGGAUCCGAGUGCGAAUAACUGGUUCCGCGCAGUGGAGUUGUGGCACACGGCGCGUCAGGAAGGGGUCGCGAUGAACGUGAGCCACUUUACUUCCAUCCUGCGACAGUGUGUUCACCCUGGGGCAUGGGCGCAAUCACUGCAGGUGCUCAAGCAGAUGAAGCGGGAGAACGUGCGUCCUGAUGUGGUCGGCGUUGGCUGCGCGCUGGCGGCGUGCGUUGAAGGGAAGCACUAUGACGAAGUGGAGAAUAUCUUUGCCACUUUUCACAAGACGAUGCUGCUAGACAGCGUUUGCCACCUGGCGCUGAUCCGCGCGCGGCAAGAGAGCGGCAAUGCCAAGGGCGCCAUCGCGGCUGGGAGGCAGCAGCAGGCGGACCAGGUGCCGUUUCUUCCGUACACCUACACGCAUCUACUGGAAGCAUGCAACGCUGAGGAUGAUGCCGCCUACGCCAUGGAGCUUGUCCAUAAUAUGCACAGCGAGCAAUGGGCCCCGUCACAAUGCGCGAUGCUGGCUAUCGAGGAUCUGGGACGGCGCCACGAGAGACUGGCGGCAUUUUCAAGACCGCUACUGUCCGCAAGUGACAAGGCACACAGCGCACUGCCCUCGCUCGACGCCUCGAAGCGUCUUUUUCCGCCAGAGUGGUGACUGCGAACCCUCAAAAGUGCGCACGCGUAGAGAGAGUGAUGCGCUGCGCCAUGUGCCGCUUGUCCUUUCUUCUAACUCUUCACACAAGCACAUGAUCACGAAUGUUUCUUGGGAGUGCCUUUCCGCCGUGCCCCUUCCUUUCGGUCCCUCGUUCCUCCUCCGCUCUCUCUGUCUCGUUUCGCCGUUGGCGCCCGCGCAUCGUCUUCUCCCCUUACAUGGACAGUGCGGGAUAACGAACACAUGCGCAUGUGAAAAAUAGAGACACUUCGCUCCCCACGGCCGCCUGCAUCACGCCGCACUGUUGUGGUGAGUUGUGUUGGAGCGUCUCCACACACGCGUGCACGAGCAACUCCAUUGCACGUGUCCCAACACUCCACGUGGAGCAGGAGUUACGGCAGUCAUAUGCACCUGAUGCAUCUGCGACUUCCCCUCCUUGCCUUCGAGGUCGACGCUGCUGAGCAUGCUGCCUUGACGCACUUAUCUGAUGGCGCGCGAGUUGUCUGUCUUUCCGCGUUCUCUCAAUGUCUCUCUCGCUCCCUCACUCUUCUCUUCUGCGUCCCAG
rnacentral:misc_RNA from 1 species